rnacentral:rRNA from 1 species
AAGAGCUUGCUCUUCAAAUCGAGUGGCGAACGGGUGAGUAACGCGUGAGGAACCUGCCUCAAAGAGGGGGACAACAGUUGGAAACGACUGCUAAUACCGCAUGACGCAUGACCGGGGCAUCCCGGGCAUGUCAAAGAUUUUAUCGCUGGAAGAUGGCCUCGCGUCUGAUUAGCUAGAUGGUGGGGUAACGGCCCACCAUGGCGACGAUCAGUAGCCGGACUGAGAGGUUGAACGGCCACAUUGGGACUGAGACACGGCCCAAACUCC